GUAGGUGAACCUGCGGAAGGAUCAUUAACACGAAUUUUAUCCAAUAUCAAAACCAAACGUGAACUUUUCCCCUCCCUAUUCAAUCAGGGAUCAUAAUAUUGACUAUUAUGCUCUCUUUUGUUUAGGCUAACCUUUUUUACUCUAUAUAGACAUAGUUCUUCUGAUCUAUUGCUAUAUAUAGUUUUAACCCCUAACAACUUAACUCUAGUUUGUCGAGUUUCUUAGAUCCUCUUCAACUACUAACACUAAA
rnacentral:misc_RNA from 1 species